AAACAGAAGCAAAACAAAGUCUUGCUUGAAGUUUUUGGACAAAGUCUUCUUAACCUAGAUGCAAUGUUACUAGCCUAUAUAGAGGUAGGAGUACACAGUAAAAUGGAGAGAUUGAGUCACGAGCCUCCUCUAGGUGAUGGACCGACCAUGAAUGGCUAAGAGGGUCAUUCCAUCUCCCUCUAUUACACCCUACAACAAUCGCCUGCCAAUAAAGGAUAAAAAACCAAGCACAAGGAAAAUCGUAGAAAACCUGUUUCAGCGCUUUCCAACGGACACUUGGAGAUUAAUUCACCUUUCAGCAGGACAAUAACCUAAAACACAAGGCCAAAUCUACACUGGAGUUGCUUCCCAAGAAGACAGUGAAUGUUCCUGAGUGGCCGAGUUACAGUUUUGACUUAAAUCUACAUGAAACUCUAUGGCAAGACCUGAAAAUGGUUGUCUAGCAAUGAUCAACAACCAAUUUGACAGAGCUUGAAGAAUUUUGAAAAUAAUAAAAAGGGCAAAUGUUGCACAAUCCAGGUGUGCAAAGCUCUUAGAGACUCACAGCUGUAAUCAAUGCAAAAGGUGCUUCUACAAAGUAUUUACUCAGGGGUGUGGAUAGUUAUUUAAAUGAGAUACUUAUGCAUUUUAUUUUCAAUAAUUUACCAAACAUUUCCAAAAACAUGUUUUCACUUUGUCAUUAUGGGGUAUUGCAUGUAGAUUGGUGGGGGAAAAAAACAUUUAAUCCAUUUUGAAUUCAGGCUGUAACACAAAAUGUGGAAUAAGUGAAGGGGUAUGAAUACUAUCUGAAGGCACCAUACUUUUACUCAUACUCAGAAUGUUACUUGGUGAUAUGGUGCAGCUAGUGAUAAACAACAUUUAGAGACAGAAGACAAUUUACAUACAUCCAAAAGUAAUUUGAACAGUAAACACACAAGCUGCGACCAAACACUAUGGCUGCCUCACCGGGUGCAAAACAGCUCUUUAUGGCGUUCCCACAUUAGAUUACGUUUUCCAUAACCUAAAAGAAGUUGAUUGAAAGCAUGUUGGAGCUAUUAUUUUUCCAUCAUGCGGCACCUUCUUGGGAUCAAGAAAUAGGACAGCAUAUAUAUUGAUUGGGUGCCAUUUUUAUUGCAGCAGUAGUUUUAGAGGGGAAUCUUUUCUGAAAUUCAAGAUCAAAGACAGAAGGAACAUUUUUGUGCUUGCCAGUGAAGACAUUUACAGUCAACGACAAGGCACGUUAACCUGUAGUCAUAAGAUUCAUUUUAAAGCAGCAAUCAGCAAUUGAAACAAUAACAAAGCAUGUCUCGUAGCUAUUUCUGUAAAAAAGCUGAGGGAUGGGGCUGCAGAAAUGUAACUGCUCAAAUUCAAAGACAAAGCUAUGGAUGCAAGGACUGACCUUCCAUGAUAUCAAAAUUAGGCUAUAUAAUGUUUGUUUACAUUUACUUUGUUUACAAACAUGAGUAAAACAAGCUUAUAUUUUGGGUUCUGAUGGGGUACGACAGUUGAACUAAGCCCAUGAGGCAUUUAUAAGUUCUAUUCUUCAAGAAUCAAUGGGUUCAUAUUAUUAAUGUCUAAGUCUAAAAAUGUUUGUGGCAACUGCAAUUUGCCCCUUUAAGUCAGUAAUUUGCAUUUGGUCUUCUCCACCAUUUAGUGGAGUUAUGACGAUAACUUUUAAUAUGGCACAACGUCAGCCAUAAAUCUCAACCAUUUCUUGAAUCAGACUAGUGAAACUGCCAAAUGCAAAAAUGAAAAGUACAUGACAUCUGUGGUUUUGACUCUGAAUUCCAAAAAUCCAUAAGGAUAUUUUACACUGACUGGUGUAUUGCUCAGUAACCUCUGAAUGAGCAUUAAGAUAAUCAUAUGAUUGGAUAUAAGAUGGUUGACAGCUUAUUUAAAUAUGUAUUCUUAUGCAAACUACAAAAAUAAAAACCAAACCAUAUUUUUCA